GACACGGUGCUGUAAAUGGCAAAACAGAAGGUUCCGUAGGCGGAGUAAUAAAUCACACCUUGAUAGUCGGUUCGAUUCCGGCUCGUGUCA
rnacentral:tRNA from 1 species